rnacentral:rRNA from 1 species
UGGAUUCAGGCCUAACACAUGCAAGUCGAACGCUUUGUGGUUCAACUGAUAUGAAGAGCUUGCUCGGAUUUGAAGCUGAACAAUGCAAAGAGUGGCGAACGGGUGAGUAACACGUGGGAAACCUACCUCUUAGCGGGGGAUAACACUUGGAAACAAGUGCUAAUACCGCAUAAUACUGAUAACCGCAUGGUUAUCAGUUGAAAGAUGGUUCUGCUAUCACUAAGAGAUGGUCCCGCGGUGUAUUAGCUAGUUGGUAAGGNAACGGCUUACCAAGGCGAU